rnacentral:rRNA from 1 species
AUGGAGCCCGCCCCCACGUCGCCCGAUCCGGCGCCCCGCUCCCCGGCGCCGUCGCCGUCGCCGGCCAAGAGGUCCGCCUGGAAGCAGCCCUCCCCCUCCGCCGCCGCCAACGGCGCCCCGCACGCCGACGCGCCGCCGCCGCCGGCCGUCAUGGACGCCGACCACUNNNNNNNNNNNNNNNNNNNNNNNNNNNNNNNNNNNNNNNNNNNNNNNNNNNNGCCCCCCUCCGACUCCCCCAAGCCUCCCCCGGACCCCUCCCCCGCCAACGCCGCCGCCGCCGCAUCGGCCAUGGCGAACCCGUCCAACUCGCCCCGGCACGGCGGCUCCGGGACGCACCACGGCCGCCACAAGACAGCUAGGCGCGGGGGCGCCGGCGGCAGCGGCGGGGGUGGAGACCACUCCCCGCGGGAUCACCAGGAGAGGAGCCCCGGCGGCUGGGACCAUGGCGGCGGCGGUGGCGGCGGGAGGGGCGGCCAGAGAAGCCACCACAACAACGGCGGCAGGAGGGGCGGUGGCAACGGUGGCCCGGGCGGCCCAGGAGGUGGUGGAGUUCCUCACCACGGCGGGUUUGGCGGACGCCGGAGAGGCGGGUUUGAUGGUGGCUUCUUCCGUGGCCCCGGGAUGGGCAUCGGGCCGUACAUGCGGGGGGCGCCGCCGCCGCCCCCGCCGCUGGCCGUCGCUCCUCCCUUCAUGGGCCACCCUCCGCCUCCCGGCUCGCAUAUGCGAGCCUUUGCUGGACCGAUGAUGGCGUUUCAUGAUAUGCCAUCACCAGUGUCUCCUGUUUCCCCAAUGUACUAUGUUGGGCCUCCGCCGCUUCCAGAGGCUCUUAGGGGAAUGGCAUUCGCACCUCAUAUGGUCGGCCCACCUGCUUAUCCCUACUUUCAGCCCCCGGCUGAGCCUGAGCCUGAGCCUGAGCCUGAGCCCGAGACUGAGCCUGAGCCCGUGGCUGAGCCGGAUUCCGAGGCUAAACGCCAGAAGCUGCAGAACCAGUUUGAGUUCUACUUCAGCAAGGACAACUUAUGUGGAGAUGUUUACUUGCGGCAACAUAUGGAUGAGGAGGGCUUUGUAUCGGUCCCUUUUAUGUCAACAACUUUCAAUAAGGUCCGGGAAAUCACUGCCGAUAUUCCUAACGCCAAUUUGCAGUAUAUAAUAGAAACAAUUCAGUCCUCAUCUAUACUGGAAGUGAAGGGCGACAAAGUUAGGAGGAAAGAUGACUGGGACAAAUGGUUAAUUCCGAAAGAGAGCAACCCUAAUAUUCCGUCAAGCUCUGCAGCAGCUGUGCCAAGCCCCAGCACCAAUGUCAAUGAUCUGACAGCACAGCUUGGAGGUGUGGGCCUGCAAGAACCAGCUGGCCCUAGUAGCACGGUGGACCAGAACCAUCAUGAGGUGGUCCAGAAUGGAUCGGCUUCCAGCAAUAACCCAGCACCGGCAGCUGAAGAAAGCGCUGGCCAGCGCUAGCCACACACCGUCUCCUUAUCACACUAUGACUGCAAGGGUUUUUGUCCGAGCGCGAGUGACGAGAGUAGAAAUGAUGAUGAUACUUUGCGAUUUUUGGAAGGUGGUAUGCUUGCGGGGUUGCAUUAGGCUGACAAGCGGGUUCGUUUUGCGGGGUUGAUGUGGCCUUCUGGUUAUUGGUGAAAAUCGGUCUACUAGCUGAAACGAUAGGCGGCCAAACAAAAGGGUUUAUUGUGUAGGGGGGCAUCAAACGCGAUGAGUGGGAGAAGCCGAAGAAGAGGAUGAAAAAGACGCUGAUUAGGGCUAGUUGCUUAGUGUGCGGUUCCGGACCGUCGUCGUCGGUUAUUUUGGCUAUGUGGGUAUUUGAAGUCCAAAACUCUGUCGGUUUCUUCCCCCCAUUUGGAUUGGAUGUAAACCUCCAUUUUUUGACGGAGGAGGAUGAUGUGAUGAACUUUCUUGUCAGCUGUUUCGCCAAACGAGAAUGUUGUACAACUCCUUGGUGUAGUAUUUUACAGAUAUUUCCUCUCGUGCUG